rnacentral:rRNA from 1 species
CCGUAGGUGAACCUGCGGAAGGAUCAUUGUCG